rnacentral:rRNA from 1 species
AACGAACGCUGGCGGCAUGCCUAACACAUGCAAGUCGAACGAGACCUUCGGGUCUAGUGGCGCACGGGUGCGUAACGCGUGGGAACCUGCCCUUAGGUUCGGAAUAACUCCCCGAAAGGGGUGCUAAUACCGGAUAAUGUCUUCGGACCAAAGAUUUAUCGCCUUUGGAUGGGCCCGCGUUGGAUUAGCUAGUUGGUAGGGUAAAAGCCUACCAAGGCGACGAUCCAUAGCUUGUCUGAGAGGAUGAUCACCCACACUGGGACUGAGACACGGCCCAGACUCCUACGGGAGGCAGCAGUGGGGAAUAUUGGACAAUGGGCGAAAGCCUGAUCCAGCAAUGCCGCGUGAGUGAUGAAGGCCUUAGGGUUGUAAAGCUCUUUUACCCGGGAUGAUAAUGACAGUACCGGGAGAAUAAGCUCCGGCUAACUCCGUG